GUCCACGCCAUAAACGAUGCUCACUAGGUGUUGGGGAAGCGAUUCCUUGGUACCGUAGCUAACGCGUGAAGUGAGCCGCCUGGGGAGUACGGCCGCAAGGUUAAAACUCAAAGGAAUUGACGGGGACCCGCACAAGCGGUGGAUGAUGUGGAUUAAUUAGAUGCAACGCGAACAACCUUACCUACCCUUGACAUGUCCGAGAGCCUGCUGAAAGGUGGGUGUGCCCGAAAGGGAAUCGGAACACAGGUGCUGCAUGGCUGUAGU
rnacentral:rRNA from 1 species